rnacentral:antisense_RNA from 1 species
CUCAUAAAUUCAUCAAAAUCUUGUGAUACUUGCAAGACCCGUAACUCGGAAAAAAAGUCUUCGGGACUUACCUCCUCAUUCUUUUGCAUGAAAUUGGUUAGGCGUUCAAUAACAUCGACUAUCUCUGGACUUUCAAAUGUCAAGACAUCCUUCUCAAAUAUAUCUAACUCAUGGGGAGAUUUUUUGCUGCUCUUCUUACUUGCCUUUUUAGAUUUAUGUUUAGACGGUUUCUCAUUAUCAGCUGCUGUAGAGCCAUUACUAUUAUUGCAGCCCUCAGAACUGCGAUCCUUAUCUCUCUCCCUCCUUUCCUUUUUGUUUUUACUUCCCAUUGUACUUUCAACGCCACCUGGAGGGUUCUUUGAAAUAUAUGUGGUGAUUUUAUGAUUGUUAUCCAAUGCUCCAAUAUAUCCACAAGCAUUACAUUUGCAACUAACACGCUCCUUCUUAACAAUUAUGUCAAUCUCAGGCAGCUCACAAUUUGGGCAUAGGACAUACAUUUGAAUAAACUUGUCCAUUAACCGUUGGAGAUCAUUCUGUUGAUGUGCUCCGUUUACGAUGCUUUUUUCUUCCUUAUCCUCCCAUUUGCUUAAUGCACCAAGUUCGCAUCCAAAAAACUUCGUAGGGUAUGCAGGUGGUCUUUUAAGCGAUCUAGCAAUAUCUGCCAUAUUAACAAUUUUCGUUCUAAUACCAUUUCCGCGGCCUUCAAUUUUUGAUACCAAUUUAGGCAUCUUGUAACGAUAGUUAGGGUCGUCAACCGUACUUGGAAUGUUUAACAUUUUGAAAAGAGA